CUAAAGGUUUCUCCAAUGAAGGGAGUCAUGAGAUUUGGAAAGAAGGGCAAGUUGGCACCUCGGUAUAUUGGACCUUUUGAGGUUACUGAUAGAGUUGGAGCAGUUGCCUACCGGUUGGAGCUACCACCCAACCUCUCUCACGUUCAUCCCGUGUUUCACAUCUCCAUGCUCAGGAAAUACAUUCCCGAUCCUUCUCAUGUACUGCAGCCGGAUGUGAUAGAGCUAAAAGAGAACUUGACAUUUGAGGAGCAGCCUGUAGCCAUAGUGGACUACCAAGUGAGACAGCUGAGAUCAAAACAGAUCCCUAUGGUUAAGGUUUUGUGGAGGAGUCAGUCAGUGGAAGAGUGCACCUGGAAGUCAGAACGGGACAUGCGUAGCAAGUACCCUUAUCUGUUCAAUGUAUAAUCAUGUGCUUUAUUCUGCCUUGUAUAAAAUUCGAGGACGAAUUUUCUGUAAGGGGGGAAGAAUGUAACACCCCUGAUUUUUUAUAUAUUAUUAUUGGGCUUCGUGUAGGUAUCCUCAAUUCGCGGAAAUUCGACAGUUGUCCGGAUCUGUGAAUUUCCGGCCAGACAGACCAGCUACCGGAAAAGUCUCCGAAUUGGAUCGAGGUUUUGGCUACCCCACCAUUGUCAGGCAUCCCGAGCGCGUCCCCGAAGUCGGAAUCGGCAAAGGUGAGCCGGGACAGCCUUCUUCCUCCUCCCAGCCGCCACAGUGAUUGCCGUCAAGUUUUCCACAGGAGGAUAUUUUAUUCUGGGUUAACCUGCUUUUCUACUUCGCAGGUUGUUUAUCAAUAUUUGUGUAAUUUUAUUUACUCCUAGAAUUUCCGCAUGUGUUAGAAGUAUUUAUUGAUUAUGGUCUGUAAUAUUAUUAUCAUGUUGGACCUGUAAACGUAUAAUGAUAUGCAUGUUUGAUGGAUUGGAUGAGGGAGCUGAGCUCCCAUUUAUUAUUAUGAGGAUAUGAGUAUGUGGAGGGUGAGCUGAGCUCCCCAAUUGAGUAUUUAUUGUGUUUACAGGUCGGGUGAGUCGAAAACUCCCCGUUGGAAAGUCCAUUUUAUGGCCGGACUCUGUCCGUUUGUUUUCUUGAUACUGGGCCCAAAUGGGCCUUAGAGUUGGGUUAAUGAACAGUUAGGCUUACUACGGGCCUCGGGGGCUUUAGGCUGGCCCAGGUCCUAGUGCCGGUCCGGCCCAUAGGUUGGGU